rnacentral:rRNA from 1 species
GGCGCACGGGUGAGUAACACGUAGGCAAUCUACCUUAGGACUGACACAACUCGUCGAAAGACGGGCUAAUAUCAGAUAAUGCAGCGGCUCCGCAUGGAGACAGUUGUUAAAGUACAAGCGCCUGAAGAUGAGCCUGCGGUCCAUUAGCUAGUUGGUAGAGUACGGCCUACCAAGGCAACGAUGGAUAGCUGGUCUGAGAGGAUGAUCAGCCACACUGGAACUGAGACACGGUCCAGACUCCUACGGGAGGCAGCAGUAAGGAAUAUUGCUCAAUGGCCGAAAGGCUGAAGCAGCAACGCCGCGUGAAGGAUGAAUGGCCUUUGGCCUGUAAACUUCUGUAAAAGAGGAAAAAUAGUUAGGUAUAUCCUAAUGUGAUUGUACUCUUGAAGUAAGCCCCGGCUAACUACGUG